rnacentral:rRNA from 1 species
GAGGAAUAUUGGUCAAUGGGCGAUGGCCUGACCCAGCCAAGUAGCGUGAGGGAUGACUGCCCUAUGGGUUGUAAACUUCUUUAAUAAGGGAAUUAAGUCGGGUAUGCAUACCCGUUUGCAUGUACUUUAUGAAUAAGGAUCGGCUAACUCGGUGCCAGCAGCCGCGGUAAUACGGAGGAUCCGAGCGUUAUCCGGAUUUAUUGGGUUUAAAGGGAGCGUAGAUGGAUGUUUAAGUCAGUUGUGAAAGUUUGCGGCUCAACCGUAAAAUUGCAGUUGAUACUGGAUGUCUUGAGUGCAGUUGAGGCAGGCGGAAUUCGUGGUGUAGCGGUGAAAUGCUUAGAUAUCACGAAGAACUCCGAUUGCGAAGGCAGCCUGCUAAGCUGCAACUGACAUUGAGGCUCGAAAGUGUGGGUAUCAAACAGGAUUAGAUACCCUGGUAGUCCACACGGUAAACGAUGAAUACUCGCUGUUUGCGAUA